rnacentral:rRNA from 1 species
UACGAAGGGGGCUAGCGUUGCUCGGAAUCACUGGGCGUAAAGCGCACGUAGGCGGACUCUUAAGUCGGUGGUGAAAUCCUGGAGCUCAACUCCAGAACUGCCUUCGAUACUGAGAGUCUCGAGUCCGAGAGAGGUGAGUGGAACUGCGAGUGUAGAGGUGAAAUUCGUAGAUAUUCGCAAGAACACCAGUGGCGAAGGCGGCUCACUGGCUCGGUACUGACGCUGAGGUGCGAAAGCGUGGG